AUACGUAGGUGGCGAGCGUUAUCCGGAUUUACUGGGCGUAAAGGGCGUGUAGGCGGUCUUGCAAGUCAGAAGUGAAAUUCCUGAGCUCAACUCGGGCGCUGCUUCUGAAACUGCAGGACUUGAGUGCUGGAGGGGAUAGCGGAAUUCCUAGUGGAGCGGUAAAAUGCGCAGAUAUUAGGAAGAACACCGGUGGCGAAGGCGGCUAUCUGGACAGUAACUGACUCUGAAGGACGAAAGCGUGGGGAGCAAACAGGAUUAGAUACCCUGGUAGUCCACGCCGUAAACGUUGUCAACUUGAUGUGGGAGGAUUUAGUCCCUUCCGUAUCGAAGCAAAUGCGUUAAGUUGACCGCCUGGGGACUACGGCCGCAAGGCUAAAACUUAAAUGAAUUGGCGGGG
rnacentral:rRNA from 1 species